CUGUUCGAUGUGGGAGGAAAAAGCGACUAGGGCUUUAUGGACUGGCUCCCCUGUUCUCUGACAUGGCACCUCCCUUUCGACCGUUGGCCCAGAGAUCUGUGCCGGAGGGCGCGUCCCCCAGCGGUGGCAGCUGGAAUCGCGGAGGUUUUGUGCUCUGGCUCUUCCUAGGGGUCUUUCUGGCUGCCCCGCCUUUGGAUACCGGGUAACAGCGGCUCUCGGACAUGCGAAAGUGGCCAUCUUGGCCGGUCAGCGUACGAUUCUUAGCACGGCCUUAUUCGCCCCGGCCCUGCUCGCUGCCAGCUGCUAGAAAUGACUAGGGGCGCCAGCCCAGUUGCUAAUAAUUUCUUGAUUAAUGACUCUGGAGAAAAUGGCCAGAAGGCAGAGUAAUGAGAGUGCUGUCAUCGAUUUAAGCAAUUGCCAUCCUUGCCCCGUCCCCUGCGCUUUAGUUUCUGAGAGGGACCCUCACCCCUCGUUGGCCCUGAAGUGAAGGCCGCGCUCAUCCUUUACUCCGUCACGGAGAAAGGAGGCCGCUGCCAAAGCCGUCCUUUUACUAGCAGUGUCUUUGAGGGGGGAAACAUUUAGACUGUCAUUUCAAUGUUCUGAUCUGGAGAAUAUUGAACAAAUAAUUAUUUUUCUUGGGAAGAGGAAAGCCCUAUUCAAGCCCUUGAAUGUGCUUAAGCAGAUCUCUUCACUAGGUGAAAUGGUCUGUUUCAUGCAGCUUUCGUUUUAAAACGUCCACCUGCGUUCGUCCCAGUUUUGCCCAAUAAAGGAAUUAUAGAGAAGGAAGGAAAAAAGAGCAAAACAAAACUUGAGCUAAGAAGAAGCAGGGAGUCAGGAACCGAUUUCGUGGAGUCCCGUCUGGAAGGGCCCACGGUGAGGGCGGACGUCACUUCAGCUCCUGCAGGGGCUGGUGUCGUGGUGGCCUGAGCAGAGCGCGUGACAGGAACGCCUGGCUUAAUGACGUUAAGGGGCACGGCCUGCUCCUAGCACGGGAGGCACUUCACACUGGGGAGAUGAGCAAGACCCUUGUAACAGCCUCCAGCUGCCUAUUGCCCAAAGAACUAGAUGAAGAAACUAACCUGUAAUUCAUCCAAGUCACACAUCAAAUCAAUAAUGGAGCUGGGACUUGAGCCUGGUUUGAGCUCUAAAUUCUUGCCCCUUGUUAUAGCCAAAUAGAAAAUACUUCACACUCUCUGAGGUGAAUGUAAAAAUAAAUAUUUUGAAAUCAGACAAGAAACACGGAGAGAUAAAGAAGAGGGAGAAAAGGGAUAACUUGGAUGGGAGGUUACGGUUUGUCCUGGCAUGGGACAGCUUUGUUUUAGCUGCAUUAAUAAAAAGCAUUAUGACCAGA